UAAUCAUAGGCUGUCCGGGUGUGCUUGUUCGAGCUUGGAGACCAGGUAGGCGUUCUCGUCGACGAAGACGGUGCGGCCGUUGCGGUUGAGGACGUGCCAGAGGAGGGUUUCGUGGGUCAGGCCGAAGAUGAGGAAGUUGCAUUUUGGGGCAGCGCCGGGAGGACGGCGGUGAUGGAUUUAAGAUCGACGGAGGCUGGCGUCGAAGAUGGGUUUUGGUAAGGGGCCGCCGCCGCUGUUGGUGGCAGAGGAAGCGGUUGUGGUGGCGGUGGGGGGUGGUUUGGUGGUGAGGACUGAGGAGAGGGAAGCGGAAGAAGAGAAAGAAGAAAGAGGAGAGAGAGAGAGAGAG